rnacentral:rRNA from 7 species
GGGUUGUGAGGUUAAGCGAAUAAGCGUACACGGUGGAUGCCCUGGCAGUCAGAGGCGAUGAAGGACGUGCUAAUCUGCGAAAAGCGCCGGUAAGGUGAUAUGAACCGUUACAGCCGGCGAUGUCCGAAUGGGGAAACCCGGUGCACUGAGUGCAUCAUCACAGCAUGAAUCCAUAGUGCUGUGAGGCGAACCGGGGGAACUGAAACAUCUAAGUACCCCGAGGAAAAGAAAUCAACCGAGAUUCCCCCAGUAGCGGCGAGCGAACGGGGAGCAGCCCGGAGUCUGAAUCAUCACAUGCGUCAGUGGAAUCAUCUGGAAAGGUGAGCGAAACAGGGUGAAAGCCCCGUACACGAAGGCGCAGGUGGUGUGAACUCGAAGAGUAGGGCGGGACACGUGGUAUCCUGUCUGAAUAUGGGGGGACCAUCCUCCAAGGCUAAAUACUCCUGACUGACCGAUAGUGAACCAGUACCGUGAGGGAAAGGCGAAAAGAACCCCGGCGAGGGGAGUGAAAAAGAACCUGAAACCGUGUACGUACAAGCAGUGGGAGCCCCACCACUAAGCCAGUGGUGAAAACUCCACGUCAGCAUCCUUUGCUCAGGCAACGGUUGCCGUUCGCGUUUACGCGGGCGGCCAGCCGGGCAAAAAGCAGAGGGGGCUUAGUGGUGGGGUGACUGCGUACCUUUUGUAUAAUGGGUCAGCGACUUGUAUUCUGUAGCAAGGUUAACCGUUUAGGGGAGCCGCAGGGAAACCGAGUCUUAACCGGGCGUUAAGUUGCAGAGUACAGACCCGAAACCCGGUGAUCUAGCCAUGGGCAGGUUGAAGGUUGGGUAACACUAACUGGAGGACCGAACCGACUGAUGUUGAAAAAUCAGCGGAUGACCUGUGGCUGGGGGUGAAAGGCCAAUCAAACCGGGAGAUAGCUGGUUCUCCCCGAAAGCUAUUUAGGUAGCGCCUCGUGAAUUCAUCUGUGGGGGUAGAGCACUGUUUCGGUCAGGGGGCCAUCCCGGCUUACCAACCCGAUGCAAACUGCGAAUACCACAGAAUGUUAUCACGGGAGACACACGGCGGGUGCUAACGUCCGUCGUGAAGAGGGAAACAACCCAGACCGCCAGCUAAGGUCCCGAAGUCAUGGUUAAGUGGGAAACGAUGUGGGAAGGCCCAGACAGCCAGGAUGUUGGCUUAGAAGCAGCCAUCAUUUAAAGAAAGCGUAAUAGCUCACUGGUCGAGUCGGCCUGCGCGGAAGAUGUAACGGGGCUAAACCAUGCACCGAAGCUGCGGCAGCGGCGCGCAAGCGUUGCUGGGUAGGGGAGCGUUCUGUAAGCCGUUGAAGGUGGACUGUGAGGUCUGCUGGAGGUAUCAGAAGUGCGAAUGCUGACAUAAGUAACGAUAAAGCGGGUGAAAAGCCCGCUCGCCGGAAGACCAAGGGUUCCUGUCCAACGUUAAUCGGGGCAGGGUGAGUCGACCCCUAAGGCGAGGCCGAAAGGCGUAGUCGAUGGGAAACGGGUUAAUAUUCCCGUACUUGGUGUUACUGCGAAGGGGGGACGGAGAAGGCUAUGUCAUCCGGGCGACGGUUGUCCCGGUUUAAGCGUGCAGGCUGACUUUCCAGGCAAAUCCGGAAGGUUAUAGCUGAGGCGUGAUGACGAGGCACUACGGUGCUGAAGUGACAAAUGCCCUGCUUCCAGGAAAAGCCUCUAAGCUCCAGGUAACACGAAAUCGUACCCGAAACCGACACAGGUGGUCAGGUAGAGAAUACCAAGGCGCUUGAGAGAACCCGGGUGAAGGAACUAGGCAAAAUGGUGCCGUAACUUCGGGAGAAGGCACGCUGGCGCGUAGGUGGAGGGAUUAACUCCCCGAGCCGAGGCCAGUCGCAGAUACCAGCUGGCUGCAACUGUUUAUUAAAAACACAGCACUGUGCAAACACGAAAGUGGACGUAUACGGUGUGACGCCUGCCCGGUGCCGGAAGGUUAAUUGAUGGGGUUAUCCGUAAGGAGAAGCUCCUGAUCGAAGCCCCGGUAAACGGCGGCCGUAACUAUAACGGUCCUAAGGUAGCGAAAUUCCUUGUCGGGUAAGUUCCGACCUGCACGAAUGGCGUAAUGAUGGCCAGGCUGUCUCCACCCGGGACUCAGUGAAAUUGAACUCGCUGUGAAGAUGCAGUGUACCCGCGGCAAGACGGAAAGACCCCGUGAACCUUUACUACAGCUUGACACUGAACACUGAGCCUUGAUGUGCAGGAUAGGUGGGAGGCAUUGAAGCGUGGACGCCAGUCUGCGCGGAGCCAUCCUUGAAAUACCACCCUUUAAUGUUUGGUGUUCUAACCUUGCGCCGUUAUCCGGCGCGGGGACAGUGUCUGGUGGGUAGUUUGACUGGGGCGGUCUCCUCCCAAAGAGUAACGGAGGAGCACGAAGGUGGGCUAAUCACGGUCGGACAUCGUGAGGUUAGUGCAAAGGCAUAAGCCCGCCUGACUGCGAGAGUGACGGCUCGAGCAGGUGCGAAAGCAGGUCUUAGUGAUCCGGUGGUUCUGAAUGGAAGGGCCAUCGCUCAACGGAUAAAAGGUACUCCGGGGAUAACAGGCUGAUACCGCCCAAGAGUUCAUAUCGACGGCGGUGUUUGGCACCUCGAUGUCGGCUCAUCACAUCCUGGGGCUGCAGCAGGUCCCAAGGGUAUGGCUGUUCGCCAUUUAAAGUGGUACGCGAGCUGGGUUUAGAACGUCGUGAGACAGUUCGGUCCCUAUCUGCCGUGGGCGCUGGAGAACUGAGGGGGGCUGCUCCUAGUACGAGAGGACCGGAGUGGACGCACCACUGGUGUACGGGUUGUCAUGCCAAUGGCACUGCCCGGUAGCUAAGUGCGGAAGAGAUAAGUGCUGAAAGCAUCUAAGCACGAAACUUGCCCCGAGAUGAGUUCUCCCUGACCCUUCGAGGGUCCUGAAGGGACGUUGAAGACGACGACGUUGAUAGGCCGGAUGUGUAAGCGCAGCGAUGCGUUGAGCUGACCGGUACUAAUGACCCGUGAGGCUUAACCUUACAACGCCAGAGGCGUUCUG